rnacentral:rRNA from 1 species
AUUGAACGCUGGCGGCAUGCUUUACACAUGCAAGUCGAACGGUAACAGGCCGCAAGGUGCUGACGAGUGGCGAACGAGUGAGUAAUGCGUCGGAACGUGCCCAGUCGUGGGGGAUAACGCAGCGAAAGCUGCGCUAAUACCGCAUACGAUCUAUGGAUGAAAGCGGGGGACCUGUAAGGGCCUCGCGCGAUUGGAGCGGCCGAUGUCAGAUUAGGUAGUUGGUGGGGUAAAGGCUCACCAAGCCGACGAUCUGUAGCUGGUCUGAGAGGACGACCAGCAAAACUGGGACUGAGACACGGCCCAGACUCCUACGGGAGGCAGCAGUGGGGAAUUUUGGACAAUGGGCGCAAGCCUGAUCCAGCAAUGCCGCGUGCAGGAAGAAGGCCUUCGGGUUGUAAACUGCUUUUGUACGGAACGAAACGGCUCUGGUUAAUACCUGGGGCUAAUGACGGUACCGUAAGAAUAAGCACCGGCUAACUACGUGCCAGCCGCCGCUGUAAGAC